rnacentral:rRNA from 1 species
AUUGAACGCUGGCGGAAUGCUUUACACAUGCAAGUCGAACGGCAGCACGGACUUCGGUCUGGUGGCGAGUGGCGAACGGGUGAGUAAUACAUCGGAACGUGCCCAGUCGUGGGGGAUAACGUAGCGAAAGCUACGCUAAUACCGCAUACGAUCUAAGGAUGAAAGCGGGGGAUCGCAAGACCUCGCGCGAUUGGAGCGGCCGAUGGCAGAUUAGGUAGUUGGUGGGGUAAAGGCUCACCAAGCCGACGAUCUGUAGCUGGUCUGAGAGGACGACCAGCAACACUGGGACUGAGACACGGCCCAGACUCCUACGGGAGUCAGCAGUGGGGAAUUUUGGACAAUGGGCGCAAGCCUGAUCCAGCCAUUCCGCGUGCAGGAUGAAGGCCCUCGGGUUGUAAACUGCUUUUGUACGGAACGAAAAGGCUCUGGUUAAUACCCGGGGCUCAUGACGGUACCGUAAGAAUAAGCACCGGCUAACUACGUGCCAGCCGCCGCAGUAA